CAAUAGCGUAUAUUAAAGUUGUUGCAGUUAAAAAGCUCGUAGUUGGAUUUCUGGCCGAGUGUCCCUAGGCCAGCAUGACGUUUGGUCCUAGGCGCUCUGCCAUCCUUCUGUCAACCUUCGCCUUCUUCAUUGGGGGCGCUGGGGCUCAGAUAUUUUACCUUGAGAAAAUUAGAGUGUUUCAGGCAGGCUUGCGCCUAGAUACAUUAGCAUGGAAUAAUAGAAUAGGACUUUGACCUCUUCUGUUGGUCUGAGGGGUGAGAGUAAUGAUUAAUAGGGAUAGUUGGGGGCAUUAGUACUUAACUGCUAGAGGUGAAAUUCUCAGAUUUGUUAAAGACUAACUUAUGCGAAAGCAUUUGCCAAGGAUGUUUUUCAUUAAUCAAGAACGAAAGUUAGGGGAUCAAAGAUGAUUAGAUACCA
rnacentral:rRNA from 1 species